rnacentral:tRNA from 2 species
GCCCCCGUAGCUCAAUGGAUAGAGUGGAUCCGUCCUAAGGAUACGAUAGAGGUUCGAUUCCUCUCGGGGGUACCA